GUUCGUCAAUGUCAGCCUCGAAAGUUAAAUUUUCCUGGUACCGAUGAUAUGCAAUACAAUACUUAUCAUGACCCGGUAUGUAUUUGAAUUUUUAUGUUGUUGGUUAUUUUUUAUUUUAAUGUCUUUUAUGUAUAAUGAAAUUGUGUUACUAUGAUCAUAAGGCGACACAAACUGCACCUUACUAUUUUCCUUGCAUGGAUGACACACAACAGAGUAUGUAUGUACUGGCACAGUUUACUCAAAUACAAACGGUGGACAAUAUUGGAGGCACAUCUCAUACUCAAUUAGGAUGGUGAACAACAUCAAUAGUCAAAGUUUGACAAUCGCUUUAAUGGAAGAGGAGCUGCUGUCUUUGCUGUGAUGAAGAAGAUGCAAAAUGCUAAAUCUGAUUGCUGGUGCAUUACCUGAAGAUGGGUGAAUCUGAUUGUUGGUGCUGAUGCUGAAUCUGAUUGCUGAUGCAGAUGCAGAUGCAGAUUGCUGGUGCUAAAACCUAUUGUAAAUGCUCAAUGAGAACUACAAAAAUCUUGUUGUAAAAAAAAUGCUCAAUGAGAACUAAAAAAAUCCUGUUGUAAAUCAUCUAUUUCGAGAUUAAACCUUUCACUUUAAUGGUAAUAUUUUAUGUUCAAUGAUGGCAAAUGGAUGUUGAAUGGGCA